AUUUAAAAAUUAAUUAUAUUUAUUUUAUUUUUGGUUUAUGUGCCUUUUGCAUCAUGCUUUAGCGAUAACUUGAAAAAUUUCUUUUACCGAAAACUUCGGAUCUUACGCUUAAUUGAUACAGUUACAAAUCGGGUAGACAUUUAAAAUUAGGCGUAUGUUGUGAUAAGUUAGUCGGCGAAGUUUAUAGCUGUUUAAUGAUUAUUUACUUUAUAAUAUUUAUCUAGCUAGGAUGUUAGAUAGAAGAGUAUAUUUAAAAUUUUAUGUAUUAUUAUAGGGUUAAAAGCACCCUUUGGUUAGAAUAUCGUUAUAGAUUUGAAUAAAAAUUUUUUAAAUUACUUUUAGUAAUCAUUUAAAGAAAAUUUGUUGUUUUAUUAAUGUUUAAAUAAGUAAUAUUAUCGCUUUUAUUGUUUCUCAAAUUUUGCCUGUCUGUUUAUUAAAAACAUUUUCAUAUUUAAAUAUUUAUGAUAGUACCUGCUCUAUGCGUAUGUAAAUGGCCGCAGUAUUUUGACUGUGCGAAGGUAGCAUAAUUAAUUGCCUUGUAAUUGAAGGCUUGUUUGAAUGGUUUGACACGGUAGAUACAAACAUUAUUAGCUUUUUUGAAAUUAUUUUAGAGGGCACAGAAACCUCUUAUGUUAAUUAGACGGAAAGACCCCGGGAUCUUUCUUUUUUGCCUGGGGCAGGUUUAAAUUUUUCAUUUAUAUUAGGACCCUUUGUAAGUUUAGUGAGUUAAGUUACCCCGGGGAUAACAGUAUAAUAGCUUAAUAGAGAUCUUAUCGAUUAAGCUGCUUGUUACCUCGAUGUUGACUUAGGUUUUAAUUUAGGCGCAGUAGUUUAAGUUUUAGGUCUGUUCGACCUAGUAACCUCCAUGAGUUGAGUUAAGACCGGUGUGAGCCAGGUCGGUUCUUAUCUAUUAUUCUGGCUUAUUAGUACGAAAGGAUUGUAAGCCAUUUUAUU
rnacentral:rRNA from 1 species